GAUGAACGCUGGCGGCGUGCUUAACACAUGCAAGUCGAACGAUGAAGCCCAGCUUGCUGGGUGGAUUAGUGGCGAACGGGUGAGUAACACGUGAGUAACCUGCCCUUAACUCUGGGAUAAGCCUGGGAAACUGGGUCUAAUACCGGAUAGGAGCGCCUACCGCAUGGUGGGUGUUGGAAAGAUUUAUCGGUUUUGGAUGGACUCGCGGCCUAUCAGCUUGUUGGUGUGGUAAUGGCCCACCAAGGCGACGAGGGGUAGCCGGCCUGAGAGGGUGAGCGGCCACACUGGGACUGAGACACGGCCCAGACUCCUACGGGAGGCAGCAGUGGGGAAUAUUGCACAAUGGGCGCAAGCCUGAUGCAGCGACGCCGCGUGAGGGAUGACGGCCUUCGGGUUGUAAACCUCUUUCAGUAGGGAAGAAGCGAAAGUGACGGUACCUGCAGAAGAAGCACCGGCUAACUACGUG
rnacentral:rRNA from 1 species